UUUUAGCUAACGUUAGCUAGCAUGUCAAACAGGGCUAUCAGUCUUUCAAUGGCUCUGGAGCUAGUAAAUCAGCACAUAGGAGAACGUAAAGUCACACGUCAACUAAGCAGGUAGCUACCUGAUACAACUAUGAAAUAGCAAGGUGACCAGUAAAACUACAGCAGACGACUACCCCU